CGGUUAAAAUAUAAUAUUUUAUAUUAGGUACUGCUAGAAUUACGAACGCAUUAAAUUCAAAAGUUUUAAUUGUAUUUGAAACGAAACUUGUGUGAUGGAUUUUAAACCCGUGGAAACAACAGUUACUGCUGCCAUGUACUAAAUUCGACGAUUGCGUUGUUGACGUUGUAUAGUAUUGUCCAGUACAAAUAUAUGGACUACACUAUGAAUUUUGCAAAUUUCAUGGAAUAUAUUGAACUUUAGAGUUGCUGUUGUGUCAGUCAAGAGAGGUGAAUUCUGUUCAUUCUGUCUUCUACGAUCACUGCAAUGAUAUCAUAAGAAAAGAUUUUCUGUAAUGGUCAUUAUUAUUUUGUUAAUACAAUAAUUAAUGUAAACUUAAUACUUUAUUAAAAUUAUGAUGUUUUUA